rnacentral:rRNA from 1 species
GGGAACGGUGCGCGGAUCUUCAGAGAUUAGAGUUUGAUCAUGGCUCAGGAUGAACGUUGGCGGCGUGCCUAAGGUAUGCAAGUCGAACGGUUAAUGCUAGCUUGCUAGUAUUGAUAGUGGCGAACGGCUGAGUAACGCGUAGGAACUUCCCCCCAAGUCAAGGAUAACUACCCGAAAGGGUAAUUAAUACUGGAUACCCUCUUUCGAGAGGAAAGGCUUCGGCCGCUUAGGGAUAGGCCUGCGUCCUAUCAGGUAGUUGGUGAGGUAAUUGCUCACCAAGCCUAUGACGGGUAGCUGGUCUGAGAGGACGGACAGCCAGAAUGGGACUGAGACACGGCCCAUACUCCUACGGGAGGCAGCAAUUAGGAAUCUUGCGCAAUGGACGAAAGUCUGACGCAGCGACGCCGCGUGGAGGAUGACGGCUUUCGGGUUGUAAACUCCUUUUAUCAGGGAACAAUCAAUGAGGGUACCUGAUGAAUAAGGCCCCCCUAACUACGUGCCAGAAGGGUCGGUGAUGCGUAGGGGCCAAACGUUAUCCGGAAUUACUGGGCGUAAAGAGAUGCGUAGGCGACUAGGCAAGUCUAAUGUGAAAGACCGAGGCUCAACCUCGGAAUUGCGUUAGAAACUGCUUAGAUUGAGUCAGAUAGAGGGAGGCGUAAUUCCUGGUGUAGCGGUGAAAUGCGUUGAUAUCAGGAAGAACACCAAUGGCGAAAGCAACCUCCUGGGUCUUGACUGACGCUAAGGCUCGAAAGCGUGGGUAGCAAAACGGAUUAGAUACCCGUGUAGUCCACGCCCUAAACGAUCCCUACUAGAUGUGUGAUUGGCAUUUUCAUUUUGACUUCGGUUAACUUGUAAAUAUCGAUUACGUGUCGCAGCUAACGCGUUAAGUAGGGCGCCUGGGGAGUACGGCCGCAAGGCUAAAACUCAAAGGAAUUGACGGGGACCCGCACAAGUAGUGGAGCGUCUGGUUUAAUUCGAUGCUAAGCGAAAAACCUUACCAAGGCUUGAACUAUAGCUGG